GACGAACGCUGGCGGCGUGCUUAACACAUGCAAGUCGAACGGAAAGGCGCUGCUUUUGUGGCGUGCUCGAUUGGCGAACGGGGGAGUAACACGUGUGUAACCUGCCCUUGACUUUGGGAGAGCUUCAGGAAACAGGGGCGAAUACCGGGUAGGAGCUCCUGCUGCAUGGGGGGGGUUGGAAAGAGUCGGCGGUUGGGGAUGGACUCGCGGCUUAUCAGCUGGUUGGGGAGGUAGUGGCUUACCAGGGCUUUGACGGGUAGCCGGCCUGAGAGGGUGACCGGCCACAUUGGGACUGCGAUACGGCCCAGACUCCAACGGGAGGCAGCAGUGGGGAAUAUUGCACAAUGGGCGGAAGCCUGAUGCAGCAACGCCGCGUGCGGGAUGCCGGCCUUCGGGUUGUAAACCGCUUUCGCAUGUGCCGAAGCCUGCGUGACGGUAAUGGGUCAAGAAGCACCGGCUAACUACGUG
rnacentral:rRNA from 1 species